AUUGAACGCUGGCGGCAGGCCUAACACAUGCAAGUCGAACGAGUGGCGGACGGGUGAGUAAUGUCUGGGAAACUGCCUGAUGGAGGGGGAUAACUCCUGGAAACGGUCGCUAAUACCGCAUACCAUCGGAUGUUCCCAGAUGGGAUUAGCUAUUUGGUGGGGUAACGGCUCACCUAGGCGACGAUCCCUAGCUGGUCUGAGAGGAUGACCAGACACACGGGAACUGAGACACGGUCCAGACUCCUACGGGAGGCAGCAGUGGGGAAUAUUGCACAAUGGGCGCAAGCCUGAUGCAGCCAUGCCGCGUGUAUGAAGAAGGCCUUCGGGUUGUAAAGUACUUUCAGCGGGGAGGCGUUACCCGCAGAAGAAGCACCGGCUAACUCCGUGCCAGCCGCCGCGGUAAUAC
rnacentral:rRNA from 1 species